GACGAACGCUGGCGGCGUGCCUAAUACAUGCAAGUAGAACGCUGAAGAGAGGAGCUUGCUCUUCUUGGAUGAGUUGCGAACGGGUGAGUAACGCGUAGGUAACCUGCCUUGUAGCGGGGGAUAACUAUUGGAAACGAUAGCUAAUACCGCAUAACAAUGGAUGACACAUGUCAUUUAUUUGAAAGGGGCAAUUGCUCCACUACAAGAUGGACCUGCGUUGUAUUAGCUAGUAGGUGAGGUAACGGCUCACCUAGGCGACGAUACAUAGCCGACCUGAGAGGGUGAUCGGCCACACUGGGACUGAGACACGGCCCAGACUCCUACGGGAGGCAGCAGUAGGGAAUCUUCGGCAAUGGGGGCAACCCUGACCGAGCAACGCCGCGUGAGUGAAGAAGGGUUUCGGAUCGUAAAGCUCUGUUGUAAGUCAAGAACGAGGGUGAGAGUGGAAAGUUCACACUGUGACGGUAGCUUACCAGAAAGGGACGGCUAACUACGUG
rnacentral:rRNA from 1 species